rnacentral:rRNA from 1 species
CCAGACUCCUACGGGAGGCAGCAGUGAGGAAUAUUGGUCAAUGGGCUUACGCCUGAACCAGCCAAGUCGCGUGAGGGAAGACUGCCCUAUGGGUUGUAAACCUCUUUUGUCAGGGAGCAACGCCGGCUACGUGUAGCCGGACUGAGAGUACCUGAAGAAAAAGCAUCGGCUAACUCCGUGCCAGCAGCCGCGGUAAUACGGAGGAUGCGAGCGUUAUCCGGAUUUAUUGGGUUUAAAGGGUGCGUAGGCGGAAUGCCAAGUCAGCGGUAAAAAUGCGGAGCUCAACUCCGUCGAGCCGUUGAAGCUGCCGUUCUUGAGUGAGCGAGAAGUAUGCGGAAUGCGUGGUGUAGCGGUGAAAUGCAUAGAUAUCACGCAGAACCCCGAUUGCGAAGGCAGCAUACCGGCGCUCAACUGACGCUGAAGCACGAAGGCGUGGGUAUCGAACAGGAUUAGAUACCCUCGUAC